rnacentral:rRNA from 1 species
AUACGUAGGUGACAAGCGUUAUCCGGAUUUACUGGGCGUAAAGGGCGUGUAGGCGGUCUUGCAAGUCAGAAGUGAAAUUCCUGAGCUCAACUCGGGCGCUGCUUCUGAAACUGCAGGACUUGAGUGCUGGAGGGGAUAGCGGAAUUCCUAGUGGAGCGGUAAAAUGCGCAGAUAUUAGGAAGAACACCGGUGGCGAAGGCGGAUAUCUGGACAGUAACAGACGCUGAGGCACGAAAGCGUGGGGAGCAAACAGGAAUAGAUACCCGGGUAGUCCACGCCGUAAACGAUGAAUACUAGGUGUAGGGGGUAUCGACUCCCUCUGUGCCGCAGUUAACACAAUAAGUAUUCCGCCUGGGGAGUACGGCCGCAAGGUUGAAACUCAAAUGAAUUGACGGGG